rnacentral:rRNA from 1 species
AUAGGGUGCAAGCGUUGUCCGGAAUUAUUGGGCGUAAAGAGCUCGUAGGUGGUUCGUUACGUCGGAUGUGAAAAUCUGGGGCUCAACCCCAGACCUGCAUCCGAUACGGUCGAGCUAGAGUUUGGUAGGGGAGACUGGAAUUCCUGGUGUAGCGGUGGAAUGCGCAGAUAUCAGGAGGAACACCGAUGGCGAAGGCAGGUCUCUGGGCCAAUACUGACACUGAGGAGCGAAAGCGUGGGGAGCGAACAGGAUUAGAUACCCUGGUAGUCCACGCCGUAGACGGUGGGCGCUAGUUGUGCGAACCUUCCACGGUUUGUGCGACGCAGCUAACGCAUUAAGCGCCCCGCCUGGGGAGUACGAUCGCAAGAUUAGAAGUCAAAGGAAUUGACGGGGCCCCGCACAAUCAUCUGAGCAUUCGGCCUAAUUCGACGCUACGCGAAGAACCUUACCAAGGCGUGACAUAUACAGGAAUACGGCAGAGAUGUCGUAGCCGCAAGGUCUGUAUACAGGUGGUGCAUGGUUGUCGUCAGCUCGUGUCGUGAGAUGUUGGGUUAAGUCCCGCAACGAGCGCAACCCUCGUUCUGUGUUGCCAGCAUUAAGUUGGGGACUCACAGGAGACUGCCGGGGUUAACUCGGAGGAAGGUGGGGAUGACGUCAAAUCAUCAUGCCCCUUAUGUCUUGGGCUGCACGCAUGCUACAAUGGCUGGUACAAACGGCUGCGAUACCGCAAGGUGGAGCGAAUCCGAUAAAGCCAGUCUCAGUUCGGAUUGGGGUCUGCAACUCGACCCCAUGAAGUCGGAGUUGCUAGUAAUCGUAGAUCAGCAACGCUACGGUGAAUA